ensembl:lncRNA
GUGUGUCCUCUGAUGCGUUUGAUCAAAGUUUAUUUUUAUUUAUAGCUUGGAAAAGUUACUUUCAGUAACAGCUCCUUUGGAUAAUAUUGUAUAAAUGUUUAGAAUUGUUAAUUUGAGGAAACUUCUAUCAAAUUUCUUUUACAUGUGAGCCGUAAGAUUUCGGGGCCUUUUGGGUGUUCUUGUUUGCGACUUAGAUAUUUUUUGAGUGGACACCACUCAUUAGCCAAUUCCAUCAGCCUGACGUGUCAUGACAUGCAGCACAGAGGGAGGGGGCUGUGUUCCUGGAAGCCCCUUCUAUACCAGAAUGACAGCAGUAGCUUAACUCUACCAGGAAGUGACUGUCCCUGCGAAACUCAAACCAAAUGUGCCCCCAACUCAACCUCCCGGAGUGAACCCCACAGCGCCCCCUCCAGCUCCAGGCAGCAGGGGAGGAAGUGACCGAAAGCUGGUUGCAAUGGGAAGAGAAAGCCUUAACUGAUUGUGAUUAAAUUAUUUCACAUUUGCAAAUUUUACAAAAUAUGCAACCAUAUGAACACUUUGUCAGGGUCCUGCCCUGGAAGGGGUUGUGUCAAUGAGAGGCCUGAGCUGGGCCUUGUGACUUCACAGUGAACCUGUCCCCGGAGCCCCAACACACUAGAGUGGUAGCGGCACAUCUCAGCAGCGUCCCACCCCGAGAGGGGCCUCCAGGGGACUGGCACGUGGGAGGGCCUUCACCAGAUGGUGUCACCGUUCUAUUAGGCUGACAGGGAACUUGGGAAGACCAGAGAGCCCCAGGGGCGUGAGCUCACUGCCACAGUUCAUCAGCUCUAAGAUGGGUCCUCGGUGUGCCGCAUGUCCAACAGGAAGGAAGGUGGAAGCAGAGAGAGAUUUGGUUACAGAAGAAGAGAAGGUGAGGUGACCACGGAGGCAGAGACUGGAGUGAUGCAGCCAGAAGCCAAGGAGUGCUGGACGUUGGACGAGGCAAGGGACAAAUUCUCCCCUGGAAACCCCAGGAGGAAGCACUCCUGCUAACACCUUGAUUUUAGCCCCGUAAGACAGCUUGCGUGUCCAGAGCUGUAAGAGAAUAAACUUCCGUUGUUCUAAGUCUUCAGGUUUGUGGUAAUUUGUUAGAGCAGCUGCAGGAAGCCGACACCCCAGGGAGCCGUAGCCCCCGAGUGGGCGCAGCCUGGUGCCUGUCCACAGCCUCUGGACUCCGGGGGACAGUUGCAAUCUGAACAGGGUCCACCUUAGCUGUCUGUUUCCCUGGUUCUCCUUGUUAAACGCCUGGCUGGCUGCCUUUUCAUGUGUUGCUAUUAGUUUCAUUGUGCCAUUAGCUUUUUUAUAAUUUCUCACCACUAAGAUCUCCAUUGUCUUCCACAAUGUCACACUUGAUGUCCGAAGAAAGUCAGCGCGCUCAGUCUCCGUGGAGCUGCUAGUGUUUCUGUCUCGCCUCUUGUUCUGGGCAGGGUCUGAGGGGGCUGGGGGUGGGGAGGAAGCCUGCUUCACCCAGAGUGAUACCUCUGAUCCACAAGUAGGUGUUGCAGGGGACGGUAUACCUUAUCCUCUCAGCUCGUCCUUCCCAGUGUGGAACCUCCGCCUACAACCGGGAGCUGGGGGACAGGGAGCCCCAUGUUCUCGGCCGCACCCUCUCGGAGCAGAGCUCUCACGACCUGGAGCUGGGUUGGGAGGGAGCAAGUUCUGGCCCAAAUGUCACAGAUUCCUGCUGUCCUUACCAAGGCUUCGUAGACCUCCUCGAAUGACUGCUGUCUGCCCUUUGGUCAAUAUCCAGCGUGAGAGGGUCAUCCAGCCCUCCUAGAAGUCCUGCCCCACCAGGCCCCUCAAGAUCAAGUCUUGGCACAGGCACGCUGUCGCUUCUGCUGCAUUAUUCUGGUCAAAGUCCUGGGUUUCCUUCAACACAGGAGGCUGCACUCAUCUUCUAUUGCUGUGUAACAAGUUCCCACAAACAUGGCGGCUUAAACUACAUCAGUUUGUUAACUCACAGCCUAUAAGUCAGAAGUCUGGGCACAGGAUGGCUGCAUUGGGAAAUUGACUUGAAUGACUAUCUGAUGUGACUACCUUUCAGCUUGAUGAACUUUCUUUAGUAUUUCUUGUAACCUGGAGAUCUGCUAGCAACAAAUUCUCUGUCUUUAUCUUGGAUUGUCUUUAUUUCACCUUAAUUACCAAAAGAUAAUUUUCCAGAAUAUAGACUUCCUGCCUGAGGUUUUUUUUUUUUUUUUGUGAGGAAGACUGGCCCUGAGCUAACAUCUGUUGCCAAUCUGUUGUUUUGAAGAUUGUUGCCGAGCUAACAUCUGUGGCAAUCUCUCUCUAUUUUUUUGUACGUGGGAUGCCACCACAGCAUGGCUUGAUGAGCGGUGCAUAAGUGACCUGUGAACCCCAGGCCGCUGCAGUGGAGUGUGAACUUAAGCACUACACCACCAGCCAGCCCCUGCCUGAGUUUUUUAAUGAUGUUGGGCAUGUCAUCCCGUUGUGUCGUGGCCUCCACUGUUUCUGAUGAAACAAAGUUAGGUGUCGAUCUUACUGGGUUUUCUUAUGUGUGAUGAGUCAUUUUUAUCUUGUAACUUUUGAGGUUUCUCUUUGUCUGUCAAUAUUUUGACUAUGAUAUGUCAGCUCCUAGGGACCACCCACAUUCCUUGCCACAUGGCCCCCUCCAGCAAUGGAGAAUCGCCUGUACAUGGAAUUGCUUUCAUGCUUUGCGUCUUCCACCAGGAAGAGACCAUCCUUUUAAGGGCUCACCUAAUUAAGUCAGGCUCACCCAGGAUAAUCUCCCUUUAUACCUCAGCUGUCAGAGAACAUUACCUAAUCAUGGGAGUAAAAUCCAUUCUAUUUACAGUCCUGGGAUUAUGCAGGGUGUGUCCACCAGGGCAGGAAACCUUGGGGGCUUUCUUAGAAUUCUGCCUACCACAGCCCACCCUCUGGCUUCCAGGGAAUGUCUGAGUUGGAGGCUGGCUGCCCUGAACCUGUCAUUCUUUUGGUUGCCACCCCGUCUCCUGGAACACUGCUUUCAGAGGGGAGGUGUCCCCCGCCACAGUCAGCACUGGUGAGAACUCCUGCAGAGGUUCCCCAUGCCACACGGAAGCAGCGGGGAGGGACAUGCCAUCUAGGAGAACCUGCCAGUUGACAAGUGGGAACUGCACGGAGCAGACCAUCAAAGAGGAAAGAAAUGCUGAUCAGAGUGGAAGAAAAGGACACAAACGAUGGCCCCUGCCCAGAGCUGCUCAUUACAGGAAGAGAGUCCUUCCCAUGUUCUGAAAUGAAAACC